UCGUACGAUACACGGCACCGCCCCUCAGUUGGUUGGGUGGGAGGUGUGGCCUUUGACUCGCGCGUUAAAAAAAAAUCCAAAUUAUUUUAUAAUUUUAGGGUGAUGUACGUAGUAAAAAGUAAUAAUAUAAGGAACCAAAUUGGAUAUCAGCUUCCUAAAAAAGCACGAAACUUUAAGUCAUAAUUUAAGCCUGUUUAAAAAAAAAUGGAAGAACAUCCGCGACCAAUUCCGAAGCGAAUGGAAAAAAAUUCCUAUUCCAAAAUCUGGAGACCCUGGAAUUUCGGAGGAGGCUUACAGCCAUUACACUUCUUGGCCUCAUUUCACCAGUUUUGCUUUUUUUUAAAAGACCAGAUGAAACCGCGCAAAUUGGUUGGAAGUUUUGACGCAUCAUCACAAUUUUCCUUUCCAAAAGGAAAAUGGAUCCGAAACAAAAAUUAAUAUGCCGAAUGAAAAUUGAAAAAACAAUUUUUAAUUUUUCUUUUGACGGUGUUUCCGAUACCGACAAACUUAAUACACAAUAAAUAUAUUAAAAACUUACCUCAAUGUUAUAGGGCAGUAUAUGGUGUAUAAAAAAAUUUGGCCAAUUCUUCAUCAAACGACUACUAAUUUUAUUUAAUAUAAUAGGUAAGGAACCUAUCUGGGUAGUUUCGUAAAUCAUUGUAUAAA